rnacentral:sRNA from 1 species
GCUAGUAACAGGGACCUGGUUUCCUGGGAGUCAGGCGAAAUGCCUAUUGUCCCUUCAAGGUCACCGGGGUUUCUAACCUUAGCUCAACCAGGCUGCUCUUCAAGGUCCCACAUUUGGGCAGUUGUGUUCCUCAAGGGGCCAAAAGGCAGCCGGAUGACUGUAACCAAAAAGUGGUUUACGGGCCCCGGUGUGUGCUGUGUUCUGGAGCCUCAGUCCUGGCAUAAGAAGGAUACACAUGGCUGGUGACAGCAAGGAUUGCUGUCUCUGAGACAAGGAAACUCUUGGUACCACCGGGAAGCAGUAGCGGGCUAUGACCUAGACACCCCUCCCCUGGAUACUAUUCUCCUAGUUCAGGCACAGUCCAAGAUGGUGGCUCCAAAGGGCAAGUGGGUUGGCGGCCAUAUUUACGCCUUGCACCCAUUCUCCUCAGUGUCCAUCUUUCUGUCUUCCUUGAGCCUUCUUUAUAGUAAGUUGGGGGGGGGGUGCAUGGGGAUUUUUUGGCAGCCUAAGGGCUUCACUAGCAAAGAGGUGAGCAAUGCUGGGAAUCUGACAAGUCUAAGGCUCAGGGAAUAAAACGGCCAUACCUCUAUGUGUGGAUUCUGGAUCUUUAGUCAAUUAAUUAUAGGGAGAAGGGCGACUAUUUACUCUUUCAAAUCCUAUCUUAGGGAUUUUUCUGUAGCCCUAUACGCUGUGAUGAGCAAAGCAGCCAGUCUGCUAUGGUUGUGGAGGGACGGGGCCAGAGAACCACAAAGUCAAGUGCAUACACAGACUGCUCUUUAAGCAUGCUAAAAAUUAAUGUGGGAGACACCACAGGGGUCCAGGGACUCCUGAAUAAGAGGUGGCUGGGAGAUGCAGGCAGAGAGUCCCCGGCUGCUGUGGUCUGGCGGAACCUGAGCUUCUGCAAACUGUCUCCCUGUCCUAAUGACCUCUUCCACUCUCCCUUUCAAGAUGUCAGCCCAGUCCUCUUCUUUUCCUUCACACGAAACCCCUAAGCAGUCUACUCUGUUUCUGCAAAUCCCACAUAAUCCAUAUCCAGUUACAUUUUGGCCCCAGUGCCCACCAUUGACUGAGAGAGAUCUACCUAACGACCCAGGGGGUUCCAUGUUAAGCCACACUUCAUUUGCUGACUGACCACAGGAUGGAUGGAAGCCGGCAGGGGAGAGAGAGCCUGCCACAUUUAGACCUUGGGGAGCCGAGAUGGCCCUAUCAGAACGAGAUUCUGAGAGAAUUAGUAAAUUUUCUUGGCUACAUUCUCUGCUCAGUCGUUAUUUUUAAUUGAUUUUUUUUACUAGGAUGUAAAGAAUUCCAUCUCUUUGUGGCAUUUCUCUUCUGCCAUUUUACCUCCCCAGCCCCAGUGACCUUUCCACUUCCUGUCACUGUCCUUUUGCCUCCUCUCCUUUCUCAAAACCUCUUGGUCUCCCUUCCUGUUCUCCUGUCUGGCUUUAUAGUCAAUGCCCACUCUCACACACCUUCAUUACACACACAACGACUAAAAGUUAACACCUGUACUUCAGCAAGGCAACGCGUUUCGCUUCUGGAACCCGGGUCACUUCAUUUAAUAUAAUACUUCCCAGACCCACCCAUGUUUCCAAAAAUUUCAUUUCCUCCUUUUACAGGCUCCGCUACUAUUAACACACACUUGAGACUUGCAGAAACCCUGGAAAUAAAUCAUUUCCUAUUCUUCCUGGGAACCACAGGGUCUAGACCCCUGAGAAGUAAAGUUGAGAGCAAGCUCUCCAUUUUCAAGUUAGAAGAUGAUGGUAGAGAUUUUAAUCCAUUCGGGGAGGGUCAUCUCUAUGCGGAAGUCGCUCCAUUGUGUUCAAUGUCUACUGCUGACAGGAGUCACUUAACCAUUCACCCUUUCACUUUGAACUCAGAAUGACAAGCAGCCAUGCACUAAUUAUACACCUCAACUGAGCCAAGGCCUGAGUAGUACAGGCUUGACUUGGUUUUGCUUCAAAAACGUAUCUGUAAAGUUUUGAGAUGCCUUAGAAAAUUAGCAAGCGAAUGGACUCUGCUUUGAUUUCUAGUGCUGAUUAAAGUAGUUUGCUCAAAACUACUUUAAAAGUCUCUGACGCUCGUACCAGAUUUACAAGACAGACAUUGAGAUAGAUGAAUUGCCGGGGUCAGAAAAUCAAGAUUCCAACACUGUGUUUUCUACAACUGUAGGUGACUUGGCUCCUUCUGCAGUGGCUGCUUCUGGCUCCUCCGGUGGGGGCUGCACUAAAAAUGGAAAACUUUCCAUCCUGUAUCACCUCUCUGUUGCACUUUCUCUACGUUUUCCAGUGACAGGCACCAGUCUGCCAAAGCCCUCGUCCAACAUAAACACCUGGCGCUGCCCGGCCAGCACGCUGAGUCAGAGCUACCCUGCUACCUACCCAGUCUCCCGCUCAAAGGUCUUCACUUCCAAGAAAAACAGGUCUGUUAGCCGUGAGUUUGGUCUAGCUGUCAGUGCCGUGAAAGUCUGUUGUCAUUCGCUGAGGCCGAGGACUACCCUAGGAAUGGCAGCCUUCUGACAGGCGCUGGCCUCAACUUCCCAGCAUCCCGGGUAGAUGGUUUGUGUGCAGAGAGGAGGGGGCAGGGACUGGUGAUUGAGUCCAUUUACGAUCAGUCACCACUCGCUCAGUGUUCAGGGUUCUUAAUCAUUGAUCCUAGACUGCUAGGAACCCUAGCUCAUUUCAGACCUUUGAAAGUGAGCUAUGUCACCCUUAGUGACAGUCGCUUUGGAUUGUCCUUACCCCUUCCUCUCCCUGCUCUCAGGCAGGCAAGCGUGCUAACUAUCCCAUAAUGUUCUUUGUAUAGAUCCUAGCUCCAGUUCCCCACUACAACACAGCCCACCCCCACCCCAUGCCUCUUCUGUAAUCGACCAUCUAGGAAACAUGUGAUGGGCCAUCCAUGACCAGAAAGACACUGAGUUUCCCAACAAGCAUAUUCCUGGCCGUUAUCUUUAAAGGUGGUUUCUAUCCCAUAAACCAAGAAGGUGGAAGAUGGGGGAGGAGGGGCACUAUUUUAUCAAGGAUACGUAAGAACCACGUGAGGAGUUAACAGGAAACCAGUCUGUUAAUUGUUCAGUAGUGUAGCCCAUGUUUACCAGUGCCUGGAAGAGCUGAGAUCAGGCGCUUUGAGACAUGCUAGUCAUCACAGACUCUAAGACCCUUCUCUUCACCCAUUUCAAGAUCCUGCCAGCCUCCAUUUGCAGACUCCUCUGCAAAAGCUCUCACAGCCGAGCCUUGCUGUCUGCUCACAAGCCCUAGUUCCUCCCUCCAGAGCAUCCACCAGGUGACUGUGCUUGCUUCCUGCUCUUCCUGGCUCCUUGAACCCCAGCAGAGGAUGUUGGAUGUGGACUGUGCAUAGUGAAGCACCUGGGAGGCUCCUUAGGAAGAGGAAACCACAAUAGACAUUCAGUCUCCACGUCAACAACUCAAACCCCAAAUCCUUGACUCUCUUCCACCUGACCGGCUGCUUGGACAGUGACCUCCGGAUUCUCCAGGGAGCAGUAAAUCCAGCCCCACUUUCUAAUUCAAACGUGCGCAGGCUCUGCUGACUUCAGAGGACAUGGAAACCACGCUGCCGUGCCAUGGAAGGACUAACUGAGGCAAGGUUCUGCGGAACCAAAGACGCAGGGACUCGUCUCAUGCCACAUCCAAGGCUGCCAUGAUCUACCCGAUUCUUCCUCACUCACUCCUGAGCUCGGAAAACAAGUAUUUCACUUGAAAACGUAAUUCUAACAAACACAUCACCGGAACCUUCGUCAGG